UACGUAGGCAGCGAGCGUUGUUCGGAGUUACUGGGCGUAAAGGGUGUGUAGGCGGUUGUUUAAGUUUGGUGUGAAAUCUCCCGGCUCAACUGGGAGGGUGCGCCGAAUACUGAAUGACUUGGAGUGCGGGAGAGGAAAGUGGAAUUCCUGGUGUAGCGGUGAAAUGCGUAGAUAUCAGGAGGAACACCGGUGGUGUAGACGGCUUUCUGGACCGUAACUGACGCUGAGACACGAAAGCGUGGGUGGCAAACAGG
rnacentral:rRNA from 1 species